rnacentral:rRNA from 1 species
UACGUAGGUGGCAAGCGUUGUCCGGAAUUAUUGGGCGUAAAGCGCGCGCAGGCGGUCCCUUAAGUCUGAUGUGAAAGCCCACGGCUCAACCGUGGAGGGUCAUUGGAAACUGGGGGACUUGAGUGCAGAAGAGGAAAGUGGAAUUCCACGUGUAGCGGUGAAAUGCGUAGAGAUGUGGAGGAACACCAGUGGCGAAGGCGACUUUCUGGUCUGUAACUGACGCUGAGGCGCGAAAGCGUGGGGAGCGAACAGG